rnacentral:rRNA from 1 species
GAUGAACGCUGGCGGCGUGCUUAACACAUGCAAGUCGAACGGAAAGGCCCAAGCUUGCUUGGGUACUCGAGUGGCGAACGGGUGAGUAACACGUGGGUGAUCUGCCCUGCACUUCGGGAUAAGCCUGGGAAACUGGGUCUAAUACCGGAUAGGACCACUUCUUGGAUGUUGUGGUGGAAAGUUUUUUCGGUGUGGGAUGAGCUCGCGGCCUAUCAGCUUGUUGGUGGGGUAAUGGCCUACCAAGGCGUCGACGGGUAGCCGGCCUGAGAGGGUGUACGGCGACAUUGGGACUGAGAUACGGCCCAGACUCCUACGGGAGGCAGCAGUGGGGAAGAUUGCACAAUGGGCGCAAGCCUGAUGCAGCGACGCCGCGUGGGGGAUGACGGCCUUCGGGUUGUAAACUCCUUUCGCUAGGGACGAAGCGUUUUGUGACGGUACCUGGAGAAGAAGCACCGGCUAACUACGUG